rnacentral:rRNA from 1 species
CUAGUUUUCUUAAAACUGUGUAAAAGUACACAAUGAAUGUCAAAGUUAAGAACAAUAUAGGACUAUGACCGUUAUUAAUUUAGGUUCUAUUGGACUUUUUUGAGGAUAAGCUCGAAAAUUGUUGUUGAGAAGUUGUAUAAUUAAAAAUUACUGUGUGGGCCUAAAAUUAGCCAGCAUAAAAGUUUGUUAUAAAAUAAUAAAAUAUAUAAAAAUAAUUACUAUACAAGAUACCACAUUAAACUAUAAGAAUAAUAACCUAAACUGAUGGGUUAAUAUACCUAUGCUAGGAUGAGUAUUUAAACUAUUUUAAGUUGAAAAAUAAAUAUUUCCUUAAAAAACAUUUCUAAUAUAAAUUAAAGAAAAGGAACUCGGCAAAUUAUUGUUUCGCCUGUUUAUCAAAAACAUGGCUCUCUGAAAAAAAUUUAUGGAGAGUCGAACCUGCCCAGUGAAUAGUUUAACGGCCGCGGUACCCUGACCGUGCAAAGGUAGCAUAAUCAUUUGCCUUAUAAUUGAAGGCUUGUAUGAAUGGUCUGACGAGAGCAAUACUGUCUCUUCUUUAUUAUCUAGAAAUUAACCUAUGGGUGAAGAGGCCUAUAUUAUAUUGAAGGACAAGAAGACCCUGUCGAGCUUUAGAGUAAAGUAGGAAUAUGAGUAUCAAAAAAGAUUAACGACUACAUAACUCUUUAGUUGGGGCGACUAAGGAACAAACAAAGCUUCUUUUAUCUCUGUAGAUCAAUAAAUUUAGAUCCAGCAAAGCUGAUUAAAAGAAUUAGUUACCGCAGGGAUAACAGCAUAAUCUCUCUUAAGAGACCUAAUCGAAAGAGGGGGUUGUGACCUCGAUGUUGGACUAAAAUAUCCUGAAGAUGCAGACGUCUUCGAAGGUUGGUCUGUUCGACCAUUAAAAUUUUACAU